CCAGCACCCGAGUGGUCGGGACGAUUAUUGGGCCUAAAGCAUCCGUAGCCGGUUUUACAAGUCCUCCGUUAAAUCCAACUGCUUAACAGAUGGGCCGCGGAGGAUACUAUAAGACUAGGAGGCAGGAGAGGCAAGCGGUACUCAGUGGGUAGGGGUAAAAUCCGUUGAUCCAUUGAAGACCACCAGUGGCGAAGGCGGCUUGCCAGAAUGCGCUCGACGGUGAGGGAUGAAAGCUGGGGGAGCAAACCGGAUUAGAUACCCGGGUAGUCCCAGCUGUAAACGAUGCAGACUCGGUGAUGGACUAGCUUUAUGCUAGUCCAGUGCCGCAGGGAAGCCGUUAAGUCUGCCGCCUGGGUAGUACGGUCGCAAGACUG
rnacentral:rRNA from 1 species